UACGUAGGGCGCAAGCGUUGUCCGGAAUUAUUGGGCGUAAAGAGCUCGUAGGCGGCCUGUUACGUCUGCUGUGAAAUCCCGGGGCUUAACCCCGGGCGUGCAGUGGAUACGGGCAGGCUGGAGGCAGGCAGGGGAGAACGGAAUUCCCGGUGUAGCGGUGAAAUGCGCAGAUAUCGGGAGGAACACCGGUGGCGAAGGCGGUUCUCUGGGAAUGACCUGACGCUGAGGAGCGAAAGUGUGGGGAGCGAACAGG
rnacentral:rRNA from 1 species